AAGCACUCGCCGAAGAAGACUAAAUCAGGAACAUGGACAUUGAAGCAAGGAGAUAGAAGAAUCGAUUGAAUUAGAAUCAGGUAGGCUGUUAACGUAGGGGGAAGUAAGGGAGUAGGAGGGAGAGGGAGAAGGUGAGGUUUUCUUUAAAGAUUUUUUAAAAUUAAAAAAUAUUUUUCUGUUUUUAAUAAAUUUUAAAGUCGAAGGAUUUUCGAUUUUAACAGAAUAAACAUAUAAAUAUAUAAAAUUUAAAUGUUUGAUUAUAGAAUAUUGAUUAAUCCAUUAAUUAUUUCAUUAAUUAUGUUAAAAUUUAAUUUUGUUUAAAGAUUAAAGUUUUUUUUUUCUUUUAAAUUAUUAUUGAACGAUUACAUAGGUCGAUGAUGCUCUAGCACGUGAUUUUGCCGAUCCACCUCUUGCUUGGAUUAUAAAAAAGCGUCCAGCUAUCUCUGAUCAGCCUCUGGUAACAGACUUUUGGACAUGUCGGAAAGCUAUCUUAUUGACAAGGACAGGGUUUUCCAAAGGGUUUGC
rnacentral:lncRNA from 1 species